CCGGGCUCUGUGAAGUCAGGCUGGUGCUGAGAGUGGUGCAGGAAGCAGCAGUGGCUUUGUAAAGGCUGUUCCAGCAUCAGGGAGUUGGAAGCCCUGAGAGAGGCUGGAUAACUGACCUGGACACAAAGAGACUGAGGAGAGUCUGCUAAGCCUGUGACCAUGCCCCAGACUGAGGCGCUCCAGACAGUUGCAGCCUCACCUGGCUCAUCUGAAGGUCCGUGGUAGCUUGUGAUCUAUGAAGCUUUGCCUCCGGGCACCCUGGGCUUCGCCAGCUGCGAGGACUCCGGAGAGGCCAGGCUCUGAGACGCUGCAGCCGGGUAGAGAGGAGGCGUAGCGCCAUGGAGAAUGGGCAUAGGGGAACGUCCAGCACCCCCAAGAUCUGGCUUCACCAGCACCCCUUCUCCUUGACAAGCCAGCUCCACAAGUGCCAGACCUCAGCCUGGAACCUGAAUCAAGCACAACCGAAGCCAGUAUUCACAUCUGGGAGAAUACAGCGAUCUGCUCCUUUCCCCUCUGCGGUCCACGCAGGGGCUGUGCCCAUCCGGAGCUCCAGCUCACCCAGGGACUCCAGGGCCAGAGAAUCCUUCAGGUCUGAUGAAGGACUAAGUUCAUUGAAGCUGAACCUCCCAGUGAAUCCGAGAGGCCUGGCUCGUUUCCAACCCCUGCACCAUAAACUCCUGGAUUCAGUUUGCAAAGCCAAUCUGCACAGCUCCAGUCCAGAGACGGGGAAAGAGGAAGGCACAGAGAGACACCAUUGACCCUGGAGCAUGCACAAUUGGAGUAUGCUGUGCAGCCAGCUCCCGGUCGGAGAGACCCCAUCCUGCCACGUGAUGGAAUAUCACUAACAGCAGCAUGCAUGUGGAGGGCCAAGGAACUCCCAUUGACUUCAGUGGGCAUUGGGUCAGCCCCAAGGAGAGGCUGCUGGGAAGCCAGGGGAAAGGAAGCCGUUAGAAGGAGGGAGGCCCUAGCAGGGAAAUUGGGGAGAGAGAGAAACUCAGAAGCUGAGUUAAACUUUGGAACACGGAGGGGCUGGUUUGGUCUGAACCAAUCACUAAUCACUCAUUUGAUUCUUGGCCAUUUUCUCUGACUCCCUCUUGCUGCAGUGCAGACGCUGUGUUCUGAGGCGCUGGCCCGGAGCUCAGAACCGCACUCUUCAUCUGGUCGUGUUGUCUGGGGAAGAGUGCACACGUAUCGAGUUUAAUUGUUCCAGCUAAGCAGAUCACGAGGGCCAAACAGGGCCUACGUUUUCCUGAGGGCAAGUCUACAUGGCAAGUUACUGUGCAGCAAGCCAGGGUCUGCAUGUACAGUGCCCCAGCUUGCUGCGCAAUAACUCCCCACACGGCCACUGCUACACUGCAGCGAAAGUCCCGCAGUGCGGCUUGGCUCCCUGCUAGGGCGCUGCACAUCCAUACCCUGGCUUGCUGCACAGCUGCGUAGACACUCCCUAAGGAAAACAUCGGCUGUAUUUUGAGCCUAGUGAUCUGGGUAAGGAGACUGAUUUCAGUUUCCUAUUUCCAAUCAGCAGCAGGGGAAAACUGUGUUGAAAAUGAGGCCACGGUAGGACCCUUUAAUAGAAAUUUACAGCUAAAUCCUGUAUGUGCCACUCAGCCAAACUCCCACUGGCUUCACUUGAGUUCUUCCCCUGUAAGGGCUAAGAAAAGGUGUCACUGGAACUGCAAAGAGGCAGUAGCUUCUGCUGUGCACAACCCUCCCUACAUAGUCACUUUUCAUCAGGCCCCUCGCUUUGCCCUCCCUCUAAAAUCCUCCAGAAAGAUGCAUUUCAGCAUUUCCACUUCCCUGCUGGGAGAUGCCAGCAAGGCGGCGAUAAGGGGCAAAGCUAUUGCAGUCGCUGUGCAGAGGACCCUAUGAGCAACUCAACAACUUCAGGCACUUUGAGAACAUUGGGCCCAGUUGGAAAAAUUAUAUAGAUGUGUCUUGGCAAACAACACUGGGGAAGACAUGGUCAAGAUGAGAAGACAUAAAUAUAAUUGAUCUCAACCAAAUGAAACAUACAAUUAGAGCUACACAAGGCUUUCAUUGUGAGAGAGCCAGUGAACCUGCCAAAUCCAAAGCCUGGGUCUUAUAUAUAACACGAGUGUGACAAAGAUGAAAACUUCUUGAAAAGCUAGGGCCCAGAUC